GAUGAACGCUAGCGGCGGGCUUAAUACAUGCAAGUCAAGGGGUAGCAAUACACCGGCGUACGGGUGCGUAACGCGUAUGGAACCCGCCCUUAUCUGGGGGAUAACUCGGGGAAACUCGAGCUAAUACCGCAUAAGAUAGUAGAAUGGCAUCAUUCAGCUAUUAAAGAUUUAUCGGAUAAGGAUGGCCAUGCGUAAGAUUAGAUAGUUGGUGGGGUAACGGCUCACCAAGUCUACGAUCUUUAGGGGCUCUGAGAGGAGAAUCCCCCACACUGGCACUGAGAUACGGGCCAGACUCCUACGGGAGGCAGCAGUAGGGAAUAUUGGGCAAUGGGCGGAAGCCUGACCUAGCCACGCCGCGUGCAGGAAGAAGGCCCUCUGGGUUGUAAACUGCUUUUGAUUGGGAAGAAAGCAUCUCAUGCGUGAGAUUUUGACGGUACCAAUCGAAUAAGCCACGGCUAACUACGUGCCAGCCGCCGCCGUAACAC
rnacentral:rRNA from 1 species